rfam:Dictyostelium discoideum AX4 chromosome 6, whole genome shotgun sequence.
GUCAUGGUGGCUUAAUUGGAUAAAGCGGUUCGGUCCUAACGAAUAAGAUGCAGGUUCGAGUCCUGCCCAUGACA